CUCUUCCUAGAGGGUGGGCCGGCUUCUGCAUCAGCGUGACAUCACCUCCAUUCAGGGCCCUUAUCGAGCACUCCGCAAUGCUCCCAGGAACCAUAGGAAACUAGAGGAAAGGGGAAACGAAAAUGAGGAACCAGCUUCCAAUUCCACCCUCUCGGACGUGUAAACAAGGGGAGAUUUUUCCCGCUGCCUUCCCCACUGGAGCUUUGGGGCCCGGCCGGGGAAAGGUAUAGGACAUGCAGCCAGUGACGGCGCAAGGAGACCUUGUUAAUAAGGCAUGGACGACCCAGAGGAGCCAAACUGAAACAAAGAAUACCAAUGCUGAGAAUCAGGGAAGGCUUUUACAAGCCCUCUGAACUGAUGAAAUGUGAAGUAAGCAGAGCCAAGAAAAUAGCAUGCCCAAUGACUACUACAAUGUAAAUGGAAAGAAUCACCAUAAAACAAUUGAAAAUGACUUACAUAAUCACUAAGAACAAACAUGACUCCAAGGAGAUGUGAGAAGACACAGAUUCCCUCACUGCUUUGCACAGAUGAAGAAACUAAGGCCCAAAGAGUCAUGUACUUGGAGUUCAAUGUCAUGUUGGUAGUGACAUGGUUAUUUGGUCACAUUGCCCAAUGGAGCCCAGGUCUUCAUGCUUCUAGCCUGAUGGUUUUUUAUUACACAAACUUGUAUGUAAAGAGAAGAAUCCCGCCUGCCGUCUGGCUCAAAGGAAGUAGCACUCUGGCUGCUCACUCCAGGUCUUCCUUCUUUGGUUUAAUGGAGACUCUGGAAAUGAACUCAGUCUCAAGGCAGGACUGUGCCAGGAUAAGACUAUAUUCCUGAAACAGUGACAGGGCUGGUUCUCUCCCUUCUUCUGCCUCCCAGUUACCAUUUAACAGCUCUUAAGCCUGUAACAUCCUAGUGUGCACCAUGCCCACACUAGACAUAUCCUAUCCACCCCUGCCCUCUCCUUACUUCAAUCAUUUGAUGACGUCAUUCUGCUCAGAGCCAGCUGUCUGGAUGGUUUAGGACAGUGGACAUCACACACAUUUUUGAGAAAUGGAUGCCCCACCUCCACCACCCUGGCUUCGGGGGCAGUAGUGACAAUGGUGCCAAAGGGAGAAGUCCUGCAGGCCCUGGGGUUGACAUUCACCUGGAGGGGUCGGGAUUCCCAGGGUGUCCAGCUCCAGUUGCUCCAGAAGCUACUUGGCCCUGUUGGAGAGGCCUGAUCCAUCCUCUUCCCUUGGUGCCUCAGCGGCAGUAUCAGGUGAAAGCUGCUGGAAACACAGCUAUUCUGGGAACAUGAUGGAACUCCAGGAAGUCUGGCACCAGCUGAAAUUUCAAACCUUUUCCCCCUCCCCUACAUGAUAUUGCAGAGUUCAAGUUAUUCUGCAAAGCCAAAGAAUUAUGGAUGGCAAGUUCGAGGGGCUGAAAAGCAGCUGUUAUUGUAUCUGAGAAACCACCUGGUGUAGUAGCUAAAGAGCUGGCCUUGCAGCCAGGAAGACCUGGGUUCAGGUCCUACCUUGGUCACGUAUUGGCUGUGUAAGGUUGGACAACUUAUUUACCCUGCUAUUUGACACCUCUAGGCUAGAGGUAUCAAACGUGAUCAUUCGUCUGUCAAUCAUCAGCUACAAUCUCAUUUGGUUAUCAUCUAUAUUUUUACCAUCUGUCUAUAAUCAUUUGUUCUCUCAUUGGUUUCUGUCUUUUUUAUCACUUGCCUUUCUAUCAGUCUAUCAUCUGUCUUUCUAUCUACCAUCUCUCUAACUAUAUCUGGCUGUUUCUUUCUAUCUAUAUCUAUCAUCUAUCUAUCUAUCUACCUAUCUAUCUUUCUGUCUAAUUUCCCCAGCAUCUAAUAGUGUUUUGCACAUAUAGGCACUUUCAAGUGAUUAUCAAAUGCAUGUGACAACAUCCAUUUCUAUCUUACAACAUUCAUUCUCUAUGACCUAGCACAAAGAACUCAGGCCCUCCUUUUCUUCAUCUGUAAAAUGUAAGGAUUGUAGUACUAAAUUCCUUUCUGAGCCCAAGUUUAUAAUCUUGAGCCUGUGAUGUGAUAUAUCAUAUGUGUUUUAUUGUUUGCUAGGAGGAGGGGUGUUCCAAGAAUACAUAGCUUGUCCCAAAAGUCUUAGUACAAUUUUAAGCUAUCAUAACUUCAGAAGUGUAAAUGCUACAAUCAAAAAACAUUAUUUGAAAGUCUCACCAUUUAAAUUUCUUUUAUACUCAUUGGGUUUUAUGAAUUUUGAACAUGUUUUCAUGUUAAUACUAUGCAUUAUACAUGUGACAUUUUCUAGGUGACACUUUCUCAUGCUCAUUGAUUGGUUAGAGGUCCUCUUAAUUGGCCACAUCAGUUUUCUGAUCUAUCACCAUUAAACUUUUUCUUGUGGAUUCACAUCAAAACUAUCAUGUAUGCAUCAAAACCUUUGUAUUUUUUUUAUAAAUUUUUUAUUCAUUUUAAACUUAAAUAUAAAACAAGAAAAGAAAAAAAAGAAUA